rnacentral:rRNA from 1 species
AUUGAACGCUGGCGGCAUGCCUUACACAUGCAAGUCGAACGGCAGCAUGAUCUAGCUUGCUAGAUUGAUGGCGAGUGGCGAACGGGUGAGUAAUACAUCGGAACGUGCCCUGUAGUGGGGGAUAACUAGUCGAAAGAUUAGCUAAUACCGCAUACGACCUGAGGGUGAAAGUGGGGGACCUCAAGGCCUCAUGCUAUAGGAGCGGCCGAUGUCUGAUUAGCUAGUUGGUGAGGUAAAGGCUCACCAAGGCGACGAUCAGUAGCUGGUCUGAGAGGACGAUCAGCCACACUGGGACUGAGACACGGCCCAGACUCCUACGGGAGGCAGCAGUGGGGAAUUUUGGACAAUGGGCGAAAGCCUGAUCCAGCAAUGCCGCGUGUGUGAAGAAGGCCUUCGGGUUGUAAAGCACUUUUGUCCGGAAAGAAAUGGCUCUGGUUAAUACCUGGGGUCGAUGACGGUACCGGAAGAAUAAGGACCGGCUAACUACGUG